CAGUAGCCGCGGGAACACGGAGGGCGCGAGCGUUACCCGGAUUUACUGGGCGUAAAGGGCGUGUAGGCGGCCUGGGGCGUCCCAUGUGAAAGGCCACGGCUCAACCGUGGAGGAGCGUGGGAUACGCUCAGGCUAGAGGGUGGGAGAGGGUGGUGGAAUUCCCGGAGUAGCGGUGAAAUGCGCAGAUACCGGGAGGAACGCCGAUGGCGAAGGCAGCCACCUGGUCCACUUCUGACGCUGAGGCGCGAAAGCGUGGGGAGCAAACCGGAUUAGAUACCCCCGUAGUCCCUGUCUCUUAUAC
rnacentral:rRNA from 1 species